UCUGGUACAGUGGUUAGUGACGCUGUUUACGGUUCCGUAGGGCCCGGGUUCGAAUCCCGGAGAA